rnacentral:rRNA from 1 species
UUUUAUGGAGAGUUUGAUCCUGGCUCAGGAUGAACGCUGGCGGCGUGCCUAAUACAUGCAAGUCGAGCGAACGGACGAGAAGCUUGCUUCUCUGAUGUUAGCGGCGGACGGGUGAGUAACACGUGGAUAACCUACCUAUAAGACUGGGAUAACUUCGGGAAACCGGAGCUAAUACCGGAUAAUAUUUUGAACCGCAUGGUUCAAAAGUAAAAGACGGUCUUGCUGUCACUUAUAGAUGGAUCCGCGCUGCAUUAGCUAGUUGGUAAGGUAACGGCUUACCAAGGCAACGAUGCAUAGCCGACCUGAGAGGGUGAUCGGCCACACUGGAACUGAGACACGGUCCAGACUCCUACGGGAGGCAGCAGUAGGGAAUCUUCCGCAAUGGGCGAAAGCCUGACGGAGCAACGCCGCGUGAGUGAUGAAGGUCUUCGGAUCGUAAAACUCUGUUAUUAGGGAAGAACAUAUGUGUAAGUAACUGUGCACAUCUUGACGGUACCUAAUCAGAAAGCCACGGCUAACUACGUGCCAGCAGCCGCGGUAAUACGUAGGUGGCAAGCGUUAUCCGGAAUUAUUGGGCGUAAAGCGCGCGUAGGCGGUUUUUUAAGUCUGAUGUGAAAGCCCACGGCUCAACCGUGGA